ACGCACGCUGGCGGCGUGCUUCACCCCUGCCAGUCGCACGGAAAGGCCCUGCUUUUGUGGGGUGCUCGAGUGGCGAACGGGUGAGUAACACGUGAGUAACCUGCCCUUGACUUUGGGAUAACUUCAGGAAACUGGGGCUAAUACCGGAUAGGAGCUCCUGCUGCAUGGUGGGGGUUGGAAAGUUUCGGCGGUUGGGGAUGGACUCGCGGCUUAUCAGCUUGUUGGUGGGGUAGUGGUUUACCAAGGCUUUGACGGGUAGCCGGCCUGAGAGGGUGACCGGCCACAUUGGGACUGAGAUACGGCCCAGACUCCUACGGGAGGCAGCAGUGGGGAAUAUUGCACAAUGGGCGGAAGCCUGAUGCAGCAACGCCGCGUGCGGGAUGACGGCCUUCGGGUUGUAAACCGCUUUCGCCUGUGACGAAGCGUGAGUGACGGUAAUGGGUAAAGAAGCACCGGCUAACUACGUG
rnacentral:rRNA from 1 species